rnacentral:rRNA from 1 species
CUGUGAUGCCCUUAGAUGUUCUGGGCCGCACGCGCGCUACACUGACAGAGCCAACGAGUACAGCACCUUGGCCGGAAGGUCUGGGUAAUCUUGUGAAACUCU